rnacentral:rRNA from 1 species
GCAUAUCAAUAAGCGGAGGAAAAGAAACUAACAAGGAUUCCCCUAGUAACGGCGAGUGAAGCGGGAUGAGCUCAAAUUUAAAAUCUGGCGGCCUCAGGUCGUCCGAGUUGUAGUCUAGAGAAUCGUUUUCCGCGUUGGCCUGUGUACAAGUCCCUUGGAACAGGGCGUCAUAGAGGGUGAGAAUCCCGUCCUUGACACAGACUACCAAUGCUUUGUGAUGCGAUCUCGAAGAGUCGAGUUGUUUGGGAAUGCAGCUCAAAAUGGGUGGUAAAUUCCAUCUAAAGCUAAAUAUUGGCGAGAGACCGAUAGCGAACAAGUACCGUGAGGGAAAGAUGAAAAGCACUUUGGAAAGAGAGUUAAACAGUACGUGAAAUUGUUAAAAGGGAAACGAUUGAAGUCAGUCAUGCUUUCCGAGACUCAGCCGAUUCUGUCGGUGUACUUCUCGGUUGGCAGGCCAGCAUCAGUUUCGAUCUGUGGAAAAGGUUGGAGGGAACGUGGCAUCCUCGGAUGUGUUAUAGCCCUUCUUCGAAUACAUAGAGCGGGACUGAGGAACGCAGCGCGCCUUUUAUUAGGUUGGCCCUCGGGUACAUACGCGCUUAGGAUG